UCUAUUUCUGGAGAAGGCAAUGGCACCCCACUCCAGUACUCUUGCCUGGAAAAUCCACAGGCAGAGGAGCCUGGUAGGCUGCAGUGCAUGGGGUCACUAAGAGUCAGACACGACUGAGCGACUUCACUUUCACUUUUUACUUUCAUGCAUUGGAGAAGGAAAUGGCAACCCACUCCAGUGUUCUUGCUUAGAGAGCCCCAGGGACGGGGGAGCCUGGUGGGCUGCCGUCUAUGGGGUCGCACAGAGUCGGACACGACUGAAGUGACUUAGCAGCAGCAGCAGCAGCAGCAGAAUCUAUUUCACCUGACUCUCAGGGUAGCUUUCUGUCCACGCCUCCUUACUAUUUACAGCCAGAGAACUUCCCUAACAAGAAAAACUUCUCAGAAGGUCUAAGGUCUGCAUUGUGGACGGAAAGACAGGCUGCGAGUGUACAGUGUUCCAGGAGAAGCAGGACUUGGAAAGACCUGGGAGCAUUUUCCACUGGGACUUUGCCUCUGAAUUUCCCUUUCUUUCUACAGAAAAUCGUCACUUCCACAACCUCACUCUCUUUUGGAACUGUCCCUGACCAGCAUCCCACAAUAAAAUAGUAAGAACAGAAUGGAUAUAUUUGUAUUCUAUUUUUUCCUACUCUCCAGACGGGAGUUGCUCUUUCUCCAGUAAUUUCAGAACAUGUCCCUGAUAGUUCCUCUCCCUCCUUUGUAUUAACUCUG
rnacentral:lncRNA from 1 species